GGUGGUGUAGCUCGGUGGCAGAGUGCUUGCCUUGCAUGUUUGCGGCCCUGGGUUUGAUCCCCAGCACUACAA
rnacentral:tRNA from 1 species